AUCUGCGUCCCUUCUAAACAUGCUGGGGCGGGGGGAGGAUUUUAAUAGUAUGAGGAGACACACGUUACCGCACCUACAUCACAACCUCAAAGACCCCAAACGGUGUCCUAGCCUGAAAUAACUAAAUAAGCAAAGGUAGAACUUUCAAAGUCUUAUCUUAAAAACAAAAAAACCAAUAUUGACUUUUCCAUUUGCCUGGAAGCUUUCUGAGAAAUCCAUAAACAACUGAUGAUGCCAGGUGUUAGAAACCAUUCUGCCCUGCUCUUGAUGGUCACUCUUGGGUCAAGGUCAGGCGCCUCAUGCCCAGCAACACUCUCCAUUCCACCCAAGGGCGGACACCACUUCCAUUCCCUUUCCACAUUGAUGUCUAAGCCAGUUCACUUCCCCAGUGGGGAAAGGAUGAACACAGAAAUCUUGUGGAACGUGUGUUCCCACAGAGCUCAGAAAUGUGAUGAUCUCAGAGGAUAUUGUAAAGAAAGACCCCUGACACCUCCCUAAGGAAGAAUGUCUUCUGUAAAAGGCGACUCUCAGGACAAAAACCAUGUGCUGGGAAAAUCUACAGCCUGCUGCUCGUAUGUUUCCAAUUCUGAUGUCCCACUUCCUCUUUAUAAUCACAUUCCUUCCCCCCGACUUCUCUCCUAAAAAGACACUUGGCAGCGGGUCUCAGGAAAGAAGCAAAGUGGGGUGUUCUAAGAAAGACUGUCAGGUAAAACGAGCUCAAAUGGAUUUCAAUAAAUAUAAAACACUUGACUACUAUAUUAGAUCAAUUCCAUUCCACUCCUUUUAAAUGGUUCCAAAACAGAACUUGUUUUUAAGUGUUGGCAGUCUACCUUUUUAAAAAUAAAGUUUCAUUCACUUAAAGCUUAUUCACACAGGCCGUCAAAGAGCCAAAAGCUUUUUAACAAUACAGUUUGAAGAGCUGUGAUGGCACUAAUCUGGCCUUCCAAAUCUAUCUCGCAGUGGGUUUUGGAAGGAUCAAUUAAGAUAAGACAUGUAAAAGUGAUUUGAAAUCUGCAAAGGGCUAAUCAAAUUGUUGUUAUUCCUACUAUUAAGAAAUAUACCAUUCAAUGUCUACUUAAAAGAGCGCGGACCUUGGACUCAGAGACCCAAAUUCGAAUCUCACCUCUGCCACUUACUAGUUACCCACACAAUAGGGUACAAGAGGCAAGUUACUAAAUUCCCUAGGCCUCAGUUUCAACUGUAAAAUGGAGAUAAUAUCCACUUUAUCAAGUUGCUGUGAGGAUUAACGGAGUAAUGUAUGCAAAACACUUUGUACAAAGUAAACACUUACUAAAGGACAGCUGUAACUAUUGUUAGGCUACUUAAUUAAAAUUCAAAUGUCCAGCUAUUGAUAAUAGAAGGGAGAAGUCAAAGAGGAGAAUCUUGCCCAAAAGGAGGACAAAUCCUAAAAACAUGGAUCCUACACUGUGAGGAUCCCUUCUUAGCCAAACACCACUCCCAACCCCCACCCCAUCCCCACUGACGUCAGAAGCUCCUUGUUGCUUUGCAUAACUGUGCAGCAACCAGAGAGAGUCAGUCUAACUCCAGGCUUGACAAAGUGAUGAUUCAUCCCAUCCCAUGAAGGGGGUGCAGCCUGUAGCCAGCCUCACCACACAACAGGGCAUCCAGCAGGACAGCCAGCGACCAGGGACCAGCUACUUAGGAGAAUCCCGCAUCCGUGUCUCCAGCAGCAGUAACACAGUUGUAUGCUUUGCAUUUGGUUAAUGUAUAUUCCAGUAAGCACUGGGAGGAAUCCAAUUGUGCUACAUUUUACAAAACAAUUCACAACAUAAAUGAAAAGUCCAAAAUGGCAAGACAAUGAUAACAAAGAAAUCUCCCGCUGUUCACUGCCCAUGGCACCAUGGUUUGCCAGACAGCAUGUUAGUUAUAAUGACAAACAGCUUGAUGGCUGGACAACAUCCCACUUCAACUUCACAUCAUAAUGCCUCCUGAGGACACAGCUUUUCAGCCUGGCCUGAAAUCUGACCACAUCCCCCACGAAAAAGACAAACCCUCAGCAGUAGCUCAUACAGCUCUUUUCCAUUACCAUUUAGUGGGCACAAAACAUUUUUUCCCCCAGAGUAAGCUUCUAAUUCGCCUUCUAAGCUUACGAGGCUUUCAAACUAGGUUCAUCCUAAAACACAUGGCCAAAGGGGUAUUUACCGGUGGACCCGCUGGCUUGUCAACGAGGCAGCACUGUGUCAUUCCCCAGCCCUGCCUGCAGCCACACUACUAUAACUGAAUGUCUCCUAAAUUAUCACCACAGUAAUUCUAACCUUCAGCCUGAGUUUGGGAUCCUUCCACCAGGGUCCCAUAGGCACAAACCAUGAAUGCCUGGAAAUGUCAGCCUCCUCCCAAAACAGUUUUGCUUGAAAUACCCCAUCCAAAAAACAGUCACGAUACCACUCCCCAUGGCUCCCUCCCGAGGUCAGCCAAUCCUCUCCGGUUUCUCGAUUCCAAUCUAGGAAAGGGUCAUUUAACAAAUGCCCAACAUAUUACAUUUAAUUCUACCUCCUCCCCAAAAUAAUUCCCAUUCACCAUAAUGCUAAGUAUUCUGUUUCUUAUUCCAGAUGACCCACACUGGGGGAGCGAAAGCACAGAAACCUUGGCUUCUCAACUCAAAACCCAAACGCUGGUGUGUGUGGUGUGUUUUCCGGGAAGAACCGUAAAAGGUUUUUCAAUUCAGUGUUACAUAAUCUGAUUCAUUUAUUUAGCAAUGUCUAAUUUUCUGGUGGUUUCCCCCUGAACAUUCCUGAAAAAUGGUUAUACUACAUUACAACGGAGAAAACUAUUUGGUGUCUAAAUCGAUUCUAUAAAAUUUGCCUCCUACCCAUUCCAGCCAAUACCCACUAGCAACACACACAGAUCCACAGGCACACACAUACACAUGAAUAUCCUGAUUCAUUGCCCAAAAACAAUUCUUCUCCCAUUGUAACUAACAAGAUUUGAUUUCAGCAAACUAACAUUGGGAGCGCCUACAACUCAGGGAAGUACACAACUUGUUGCAGCAAUAAAUGCUUGGCCGCAGCCUGAACAAAGCAGUACAAACAAGCUCCAGAAACCCACACGGCCCUUGGACAAAACGUUGUGUUUGUAAUCAACUCCCCAAUGCACUCUCAUCACCCCCUCCCCAACCCUCUUCCCCUGCCCUGACUCGCGUUCCUAAUCUGGUUUCCAUUCCAGCCCCGCCCCCUCCCCUUCCCUCUCUGGGACCGUGAAUCAAUCCCUUCCCCGGCAGGAAACGAGACGCAGGGCAGCCCCCUCCGCUGCGGCGGAACAAAGGAGGACAGCGCAGGAAGCCCCAUCGGGUCCGGAGUCCCUUCUCCCACGCCGCCGCCGGGGCACGCCGCACCUGAACCCCACUCCCCAGGACGCCCCAUUGUUCUCUCUCCGCUUUCCUUCCCGGAGGAGGCCACCCCAUGUCCUUCCAUAGAACCAGGGGGCCAGGAAACAGCUGUGGGCCAGAGAGAUGGAGGGGGUGUGAGUGAACACGAGGAAGAUCUGGAUCCCACUUUGCCCACAGACCAGGAAAGCCAAGAACAGAGAGAUCUUCCAGAUAAUCAAUGGCUAUGCUGUUUUGAAGUCAUGCCCACAGAUUCUUUGACACCCCUGCCCUUAAGGAGUGGAGUCUAAUUGCCCACUUCUUGAAUAUGGGCUGGACUUAGUGACUGGAUUCUAGUCAAUAGAAUGCAGCAGAAGUGGUGCUCCGAGACUCCUGAGCCCCGCUCAUCAAAGGAGCUACAGUUUCCACCUGGCUGUCUCUUGGGACACUCGCCCUUGGAAUCCAGCUGCCCUGCUGUGAGGAAGCUCGUGCCACCUGGAAGGCCAUGUGCGGCUGAUGGUGCCAGGUCCGUGAUGAGAGCAUCUCUUUAGAAGAGGCAAGAGAGGCACCCCUGGAACCCACAUCAACUCUUUCAGGCACCAUUCAGUCACAAUCCAGAGCCUGGUACUGUGUUCCUGGCUUCUGUGGACUCCCCUUCAUGGGCUGGUGCACAUGAUUUUUGUCAGAUGAGCAAGGGUGUCUUGGCCCAACAAUAUGCUUUGCUUAAGAGCUUAGUAGAAGGCAGUCCACGUGGAAACAGUUGACCGCUCUUGAAGAAGGCCAGUUGUCGGUGUGAAAUGGAACCUCCAGAGCAGGGUAGCCGGAGCCCCAGGCUUGGCUGCCCUGAGCCGCAGGCAUGGGUUUGCACAAACUCCAUUCCACUGCUGUUGACUUCACUGGGCCAGGCUCAGCUGCAUGAGAAAGGAAGCCUGCCUGAAGCUCUAAAGUGUCUUAUAAAAUCAUCCUGCCAGUAUUAAGACCUCACCCAGAAAUAGUUUCAGUUUUUGCGUUUGUUUUUUGAGCCAUUCAAAGAGAAUAUUGCUAUGGGAAAGUUCCCCUUUACUAUUCAGUCUCAUCAGCUGAGUUAUUAAUGGAAAGUAGUUCAUGGCAACCAUCUCUACAGUGCCAAUAAAUGCCUAGUGUUAAAACAGCCAA